rnacentral:rRNA from 1 species
UACGAAGGGGGCUAGCGUUGUUCGGAUUUACUGGGCGUAAAGCGCACGUAGGCGGAUCGUUAAGUCGGGGGUGAAAUCCUGGAGCUCAACUCCAGAACUGCCUUCGAUACUGGCGAUCUUGAGUCCGGAAGAGGUGAGUGGAACUCCUAGUGUAGAGGUGGAAUUCGUAGAUAUUAGGAAGAACACCAGUGGCGAAGGGCGGCUCACUGGUCCGGUACUGACGCUGAGGCGCGAAAGCGUGGGGAGCGAACAGG